rnacentral:rRNA from 1 species
CCUACGGGAGGCAGCAGUGGGGAAUAUUGGGCAAUGGGCGAAAGCCUGACCCAGCAACGCCGCGUGAAGGAAGAAGGCUUUCGGGUUGUAAACUUCUUUUGACAGGGAAGAGCAGAAGACGGUACCUGUCGAAUAAGCCACGGCUAACUACGUGCCAGCAGCCGCGGUAAUACGUAGGUGGCAAGCGUUGUCCGGAUUUACUGGGUGUAAAGGGCGUGUAGCCGGGCUUACAAGUCAGAUGUGAAAUCCGGGGGCUUAACCCCCGAACUGCAUUUGAAACUGUUGGUCUUGAGUAUCGGAGAGGCAGGCGGAAUUCCUAGUGUAGCGGUGAAAUGCGUAGAGAUUAGGAGGAACACCAGUGGCGAAGGCAGCCUGCUGGACGACAACUGACGGUGAGGCGCGAAAGCGGGGGGAGCAAACAGGAUUAGAUACCCGGGUAGUC